GGGCGUUAAGUUGCAGGGUAUAGACCCGAAACCCGGUGAUCUAGCCAUGGGCAGGUUGAAGGUUGGGUAACACUAACUGGAGGACCGAACCGACUAAUGUUGAAAAAUUAGCGGAUGACUUGUGGCUGGGGGUGAAAGGCCAAUCAAACCGGGAGAUAGCUGGUUCUCCCCGAAAGCUAUUUAGGUAGCGCCUCGUGAAUUCAUCUCCGGGGGUAGAGCACUGUUUCGGCAAGGGGGUCAUCCCGACUUACCAACCCGAUGCAAACUGCGAAUACCGGAGAAUGUUAUCACGGGAGACACACGGCGGGUGCUAACGUCCGUCGUGAAGAGGGAAACAACCCAGACCGCCAGCUAAGGUCCCAAAGUCAUGGUUAAGUGGGAAACGAUGUGGGAAGGCCCAGACAGCCAGGAUGUUGGCUUAGAAGCAGCCAUCAUUUAAAGAAAGCGUAAUAGCUCACUGGUCGAGUCGGCCUGCGCGGAAGAUGUAACGGGGCUAAACCAUGCACCGAAGCUGCGGCAGCGACACUGUGUGUUGUUGGGUAGGGGAGCGUUCUGUAAGCCUGUGAAGGUGUGCUGUGAGGCAUGCUGGAGGUAUCAGAAGUGCGAAUGCUGACAUAAGUAACGAUAAAGCGGGUGAAAAGCCCGCUCGCCGGAAGACCAAGGGUUCCUGUCCAACGUUAAUCGGGGCAGGGUGAGUCGACCCCUAAGGCGAGGCCGAAAGGCGUAGUCGAUGGGAAACAGGUUAAUAUUCCUGUACUUGGUGUUACUGCGAAGGGGGGACGGAGAAGGCUAUGUUGGCCGGGCGACGGUUGUCCCGGUUUAAGCGUGUAGGCUGGUUUUCCAGGCAAAUCCGGAAAAUCAAGGCUGAGGCGUGAUGACGAGGCACUACGGUGCUGAAGCAACAAAUGCCCUGCUUCCAGGAAAAGCCUCUAAGCAUCAGGUAACAUCAAAUCGUACCCCAAACCGACACAGGUGGUCAGGUAGAGAAUACCAAGGCG
rnacentral:rRNA from 1 species